AUUCAAUCCAAUUGUAAGUUGCUCUGGAUAAGAGUGUCUGCUAAAUGACUAAAA
rfam:Salmo salar isolate Sally breed double haploid chromosome ssa13, whole genome shotgun sequence.